UCUCACUCCAAAGGCGUCAAAAAUCGAAGCAUGGUCAAGCGCCCCUAGCGUCACUUUUAUGACGCCAAAUGUGCCUCUCGGCGUCGAAUAUCGAAGCACUACGACCUUCAUUGCUUUCAAUGGGAAACUUUUGGCGUCAGAAUUCGACACGAGGACAUGAGAUGUUUAUCGCUAUGAAAUCACGUUCAAGAAGUCUCAUUCAGCACACAUCGCGAUACUUGCUAUCAGUUCCACAGUUUGGCUGAAAAGACAUAAAGGCAGUCAGCCCAGUGGUGUUUCUGGAGAGGGAUUCCUUCAGAAAUGGAGAAGACAGAAAGCUGCGGAGGCAGAUAUAUGCAGCAGUCUAAAAUAUCAAGCUCAACAACUCACUCAAGAGCCAACCCUCACAAACCUUCCUAAAAACUAAAAGAGCUAUUACUGAGUCUCAGCGAAUCUUGCCAUGAUCAGCUCUUCCCAGAAGAGAAGGAAGACCAAGGAAAUGAUUUGCUUAGGAUGAGGAAUGAAGAUGGCCAUCUUGUGCUCAAACAAACAGAAGUCCUCUGAUGAUCUCAUCAGCCAAAUGAGGGGUUUUGACCAAGUGAUGCUCUUGAAAGGAGUGAAAGAAGAGGAUGUGCUAAAUUCUCUUCAGAGAAAAAGCUUCUCAAAAGGUCUCAAAACAGCUUGAAGAAUGGUCUGGGAUGUUAGGACUGAGAGAUCCUCUGGCUGAGGACAAGCUACACCACAUCAGUGCUGGAUAUCAACCACAAACUGUUUCCAGACACGAGAGAAGAAGAACACGAUGGGGAGAUGAAACCAGUUUAGAUGUGAUGAUGGGAAUCAUUAUUUUCUGGAACAGUAUCUCAUGUCUUAUAUGUAUCACAUGAUCUGUAUCACAGUUGACUGGAUGGGACUGUGACUUUUAAGGACAUUUCAUCACUCAUCUGUGUGAACUGAUUUAUAUAUGAGGUUAAUGUAUUUUUGAUGAUAAUUAUUUUCAUUGAAUCGUAUUCGUCUUGAUGCUACUUUAUCAACUUUAUAGUCUAUGCUUCAAUAAAAUGAAAAUGGUGAA